rnacentral:rRNA from 1 species
AUACGGAGGGGGCUAGCGUUGUUCGGAAUCACUGGGCGUAAAGCGCUCGUAGGCGGACCAGUCAGUCAGAGGUGAAAUCCCAAGGCUCAACCUUGGAACUGCCUUUGAUACUGCUGGUCUUGAGGUCGAGAGAGGUAAGUGGAAUUCCUAGUGUAGAGGUGAAAUUCGUAGAUAUUAGGAAGAACACCAGUGGCGAAGGCGGCUUACUGGCUCGAUUCUGACGCUGAGGAGCGAAAGCGUGGGGAGCAAACAGGAUUAGAAACCCUUGUAGUCC